AAACCACUCAGAUACUGGUCUCGUUGGCCUACCCUGAUUAACGCACCUUAUAUUUAACAACAGUGGUCACAUAAAUGAGAAGAACCCACAGACUUAGUUCCAGGACCUGAGAUAUAAAUCCUGGCUGUACCACUCUCUGCACAUAUUCUAUGAUUGGCUCCAAAAUAUGCUCUAUACCCUUUACCACUUGCAUGUCUAGCACAUUCUCUUCUUUUUUGGAGCCCUCUCCACUCUCCUCUGCCUCAAGACUUCUGUGAGGCACUCUCUGACUUCCCUCCCAUGCGUAGGUCUUUGUUCCUAGUGCAGGGUCUAUCCCGCCAUUUUAGCAUCUAUUACAUUUGAUUGCAAAUAUUUGUUGAGCUUGGGUUUCCAAAGACUGAGUCCUUGAAUCCACAGACAAUUCCUUUGGGAUCUCUGACUGCCAGCAUUUAGUCCUGGUGCCUGGCACAUAGCAAAAAUCAAUAAAUCAAUAAAUCAAUACAUAAAUAAAUACAUAAAUACAUAAAAUAAUAAUAAAUAUAUAUUAAAGGAAUGAUUGUCACUUAUGACCUUAAGUGAGUCCCUUAUUUUUGAACUCUUUAAAAUUUUACCGAAUUUGAUGAUGAUAAUGAUAUAAUGAAAUCAUUAUAAUGAUUGUGAAUCAAUGUGAUAAUGAAAUAAUGUGAUUUGUAGAUUCUAAACAGAUGCUGAUGGUAACAUGGUUUAUCGUAUUCUGCAGUCCCUUCUCAUUUUAUUUUUUCAGUCAAAUUCACCUUAAUGCUUCGAGGAAGCUCUGUCCAAUAGUAAAACAAUGCAAGCCACAUAUAUAAUCUAAUCAUCGUAGUAGCCAUAUUUAAAAAGUGCAAGGCAGUAGGUGAAAUCGGUUUUCGUGAGGGACUUAACCCCGGCUGUGCCAAGCCCUGAGCCGCCGCUCGCCCCCCACAGCCCGGCUCCCGGGCCCGCGCGACGCGCUCCGGCGGCAGGACGGCCUCCCUCAGCCCUCGCAGGCGCCGCGAGCCGCCGCCGGGACGCCCCGAAGUCCCGCGCUGAGGAACCCACCCGGUCGCCUGGAUUCGCUCUCGCAGCGACUGUGUGCAUAGGGCGAGCGGUUACUAGAUGUCGGGGUGCCUUGACCCCCGGAUAUGUGAGGAAAAGUGGGAAACGGAAGCCCUGGGAGCCAGACUCCAGUAGGCCUGGGAACAUCCUGGAGCCAGGAGAAACCUGAUUAGGCUGACACCCAUGACUGCCCGGGUUCUGGCUCCGAGAGCGUGAACAUCUUAGGACACGCUGUGUGAGGAUAAGUCCCCACCCCCUUGUUGCUGAGAUUUUUGCCAGCACUUCCACAGGUUUUCUGUCAGUGGCCUGGAGAGGCUCACAGCGAGCCCUGUAGGCUCCACAGAAAGAAACUUCCCAUCCAGGGACGGUGCUGCUGGGGAGAUGGACAAAUGAGUCUGAGACAGGUGUCCAGACAUUAACUGUAGGUAAAGCCCUGAGGGAGGAGUUCAAAGGGAGCUUGAGAAACAAAGAAGACCUCCAGUGAAGAGAGGGGAAUUAGUGCCUUAUAUGUUAAAAGCGAAGCAAACACAGGGGUUGGAAAUCAGAAGAGAGCGCUAAAAUGGAAGUUUCCCUUUAUUGCUUUACUGGGAAUUUUCCUUUCUCAUGAGAAGUCUCUGAAAAGGAAACCUCCUAAGCUGGGAAUCAGUCCAGGAGGCUCCCAUGAGGCCCCGAGACUUCUCUGGACUUCUGAGAUGAAAGCAUAAUUUGUUCCCUUCCUGUGCAUUGGGCUUAGGGUUGCCACCUACCUCUUUUUGUCAAAGACAAAUAGGCAAGAAAAUCAACAACUUGACAUCGGUCAUUAACCUGUCGUGGGCUUCUGGGUUCUUGCAAGUGUUACUGAAUAGAUAUGAGUGAGCCAGGAUAGUUAACCAAGGUUCUGACUUGUUUUUGGAAGGCUUUCACUAGCUCUGACUGCUUGAGUACUGAAUAAAAAUCACACGCGCGCGCA
rnacentral:lncRNA from 1 species